UCAUCACCACCAUCACCCUGAAUAAUCUUUCGGGCGAUGGCGAUUGCUUGGAAGAUAAGACUUCCGAGUGAGUACUGCAAAUCACAACCCUAAAAACCUCUCGGAAGCCAACUUUCGAGAGGUUUUUUUA
rfam:Avibacterium paragallinarum strain CL AvpgCL_contig_47, whole genome shotgun sequence.